rnacentral:rRNA from 1 species
GAGUUUGAUCAUGGCUCAGGAUGAACGCUAGCGGGAGGCUUAACACAUGCAAGCCGAGGGGUAUAGUUAGCUUGCUAACUAGAGACCGGCGCACGGGUGCGUAACGCGUAUGCAACUUGCCCUACUGAAAAGGAUAGCCCUUCGAAAGGAGGAUUAAUACUUUAUAACAGAUUUAAUGGCAUCAUUAGAUUUUGAAAGAUUUAUCGCAGUAGGAUAGGCAUGCGUAAGAUUAGUUAGUUGGUGAGGUAACGGCUCACCAAGACGAUGAUCUUUAGGGGGCCUGAGAGGGUGAACCCCCACACUGGUACUGAGACACGGACCAGACUCCUACGGGAGGCAGCAGUGAGGAAUAUUGGACAAUGGGUGGAAGCCUGAUCCAGCCAUCCCGCGUGUAGGAUGACGGCCUUAUGGGUUGUAAACUACUUUUAUCUGGGGAUAAACCUACUCACGUGUGAGUAGCUGAAGGUACCAGAAGAAUAAGCACCGGCUAACUCCGUGCCAGCAGCCGCGGUAAUACGGAGGGUGCAAGCGUUAUCCGGAUUUAUUGGGUUUAAAGGGUCCGUAGGCGGAUUAAUCAGUCAGUGGUGAAAUCUCAUAGCUUAACUAUGAAACUGCCAUUGAUACUGUUAGUCUUGAGUGAUGUUGAAGUUGCUGGAAUGUGUAGUGUAGCGGUGAAAUGCUUAGAUAUUACGCAGAACACCAAUUGCGAAGGCAGGUGACUAAACAUCAACUGACGCUGAUGGACGAAAGCGUGGGGAGCGAAC